GGGCGGGUAGCUCAGCGGGAGAGCAUCGGCCUUACAAGCCGGGGGUCGCAGGUUCGAAACCUGUUCCGCCCA
rnacentral:tRNA from 1 species